rnacentral:misc_RNA from 1 species
GAUCAUUAUCGUAUAAAAUGGAGGUGCUGGGGCUGUUGCUGACCCUUGAAAAAGGUCGUGCACGCCUGGAGCACACUCUCAUAUCCAUCUCACCCCUUUGUGCAUUGCCGCGUGGGUCCCCUUUUGGCUUGUUCCGAGAGGGUGACCUGCGUUUUUACAUAGACACCCUUUGAAUGCAUGUGUAGAACGUUCUUACUUUUUGCGAUCACACGCAAUCAAUACAACUUUCAACAACGGAUCUCUUGGCUCUCGCAUCGAUGAAGAACGCAGCGAAAUGCGAUACGUAAUGUGAAUUGCAGAAUUCAGUGAAUCAUCGAAUCUUUGAACGCACCUUGCGCCCCUUGGUAUUCCGAGGGGCACACCCGUUUGAGUGUCGUGAAUACUCUCAACCUUCUUGGUUUCUUUGACCACGAAGGCUUGGACUUUGGAGGUUUUUCUUGCUGGCCUCUUUUGAAGCCAGCUCCUCCUAAACGAAUGGGUGGGGUCCGCUUUGCUGAUCCUCGACGUGAUAAGCAUUUCUUCUACGUCUCAGUGUCAGCUCGGAACCCGCUUUCCAACCGUCUUUGGGCAAAGACAAUGUUCGAGUUGUGACUCGAC